CGCUCUGGUGGCCUAGUGGUUAGAGCGUCCGCCUCGGAUGCGGGAGGUCGUGGGUUCGAUCCCCGGUCGAGUCA